CUUACCAUGCAAGUCGAGCGCCCCGCAAGGGGAGCGGCAGACGGGUGAGUAACGCGUGGGAAUCUACCUAGCUCUACGGAAUAACCCAGGGAAACUUGGACUAAUACCGUAUACGUCCUUCGGGAGAAAGAUUUAUCGGAGUUGGAUGAGCCCGCGUUGGAUUAGCUAGUUGGUGGGGUAAUGGCCUACCAAGGCGACGAUCCAUAGCUGGUCUGAGAGGAUGAUCAGCCACACUGGGACUGAGACACGGCCCAGACUCCUACGGGAGGCAGCAGUGGGGAAUAUUGGACAAUGGGCGCAAGCCUGAUCCAGCCAUGCCGCGUGAGUGAUGAAGGCCCUAGGGUUGUAAAGCUCUUUCAACGGUGAAGAUAAUGACGGUAACCGUAGAAGAAGCCCCGGCUAACUUCGUGCCAGCAGCCGGGUAAUACAAAA
rnacentral:rRNA from 1 species